rnacentral:lncRNA from 1 species
CAAAGACCUUUAAUUUCCUCAUCCCCCUUUCAGACAUUCUGUUAAAGAAUAAUCUCUUAUCAAAAUGGGUUGCCAAAGGGGAGGGGGGAGGGAGUGGGAUGGACGGGAAUUUAGAGGUUAGUAGAUGCUGACUAUUACAAUUAGAAGGGAUAAACAAGGAGGUCUUAUUGUACAGCACAGGCAACUAUAUCCAACCUCUUGGAAUAGAAGUGUGAUGGAAAAAAAUAUGAGAAAAAAAUGUAUGUAUAUGUAUGACUUGGUCACUUUGCUGUACAGCAGAAAUUGGCACAACAUUGUAAAUCAAAUCAAUUAAAAUUAAAAAAUGGACUACUCCAAAAACCUUAAUCAAAUUUAAGAAUAUAUACUUUUGAAAAGGCAUUUCUGAAGUGUUAUUGGUCAGCAUAAGCUAAGCUAACCAUGUACAAUGAAACUGCACCCUAGGAACUGUAAUACACAGCCCCACAACUUGAGUGAUUUCACUCCAUAUACCGUGACAUUUCGCUUAUAUAAUAAUUGGUGAUGCUCUGGGGGUGACUUCCCGUUGGAUUCAGAGACACAGGCUCUUUCCAUCUUGUAGUUGUAGCCUUCCUUGUGGUCUUGGAGUCCUUUCAAUUCCUCAAGGAGAUAAAGAAAGGAAAAGAAAGAGUACCCUUUAAAAAAAAAAAAAAUUGGUCAGUUCUGGAAGUGGCAGGGAUUUCUAGGCCCCAGCAGGUAUCUCUAGGCCCCACAUCACAUUAGUCAGACAGUCACAUGACGCUGUGGAGACCUAGAAGAGGACAAAAAUUGUUGGUUGCGCAGAAUGUUUCUAUUACAGAAGAAAAUUCAUUUAGAAAAUUAUAUAUUUUCUUUAGGAAAUAAACACAAAAACAAACAACACCUUUCAUCUUUGUGAAAUAUAUCCUUAGCCGUUUUGAAAUUAUAAAGUGCAUGAGCCUUGGAUUAGAAACCUCACAUAUUCUGUUUUGCAAAAUUGACACUUAGGGAGAAUUAUUUUGAUGUAAAGAUGUGAAAUACAGAAAAGUUCCUUUGAAUGACCUUCUGUGAAGUGUUUAAACCGGAAAGCCUCCUUAAUAGUUAGUAGUAAUGAGCCUUUUAAUUUUCUGUAGCAACAGACUCUGCUUACAGCAGGUGCCCUUUGGGUAUUAAUAAUAAUUUUUACAAAUCUCAUGUGUUCAACACAGAAAACAAUUCCUAGGUUUACUGAUGAAGGUAUUCUUGGCACUGCAGAGAUUUUGUGAUUUUGCACAGUUGAUGUCUGAUUAUUUCUAAUGGCAGAGUAGGUAAUGACUUUAAAAAUUCACACUAUAAGCUCUAAAAUUCCUAGUGUUUAGUUUCAUUGUACAUAAUUUUGCUUACUGUAUCAUUAAAUCUAUUUAGGUAAUGAGGCAAAACAUUUUCUGAAGCAUGGUGGGAAAGUAGAAGAAUACAUUAAAGAUAAUGCAUGACUGAUUAUUUUGUAUGCUUCUUAUUUUUUUAAAAAUAAAAACACAUUCUUGGAUCAAGAUAGACCACCUAGAUAUUUAAAGUGAUUUCAACCUAGAUAUUUAAACUGUAAAACCUAUUUAUCCUCUUGAGAGAUAAGUGGAACAUUUAAAUUCUCCCCUGUCCCUAGGCUUAGUUUUUCCAUAGUAUGUAACUUGUAAAUAUUGAUGUAUCUCUACUUUGAUGAGUAUUGAUUAUAAACUCUCAUGUGUAAGCCAUCACUUUAGGCCUUGAGAGAAAUACCAUGUUGAAUCAAACUUGGAUUUGCUUUUCCAAAAGCUUACAUAUACCAAUUGAAAUAAUAUAAGCACCAUAAGCUGCAGCGCAAGAUAGAUAUGAUAAUAAGGAAAAUGAAGCUAAUAGGACAGGGGUUAAGAAGGAGAAGGAUGGGGGAAAAUAAAAGAAAAACCUUCAAGAGAAAAUGUAUGGUUGAGGCGACAGAAAUGGAAGUAAAGUCAUCAGGAAAAUGGUGCCAAGUAUCUUUGUUUAGAAACAAGAGGCUUGAGUUAGUAAGGUAAAGUGAAUGAUAAACAGAAACUGGAAAACCUUUGCAAUGGACAUUGGAACAAGGAAAUGUUAGCGUGACACCUCUGAAUGUGAUGGGCAGGCCGGUGAGAUCAAGGUCUAACAACAGAGAAUGAAUUUAAAAGAAUAAUGUGGUUGGAAAUAGUGGCGUUUUGACUCCCACAUUCAGACUUGAUUAUUGGCAAGGCCAGAACUGCCAUUUGCAUGGAAGCUGACCGUGCGGUGAAAUGCUCUGGAGCUUGUAAAAACAGACCAUGGAAUCCAGAUGAGACCCUGCACGUAUUAUCAAUUUCAUGACCCCUAUUCUUGUCCUGACAUCUAAACCUCCCUCUUCUAAGAGAAUCGGCAGGAAGAAUGAAAGUUUUAAAGUCAGAGUCAAAUGCUCGCUCUAUCACAAAUUAGCAGUAUAAUUUGGACAUUUCUUUGUCUCAGCCUAAAAUUACUUUAAAAUAAAACUGAGGAGAAUUCCUGAUUUGCAGACCUAUUGUUAGAAGUAAGUGAAAUAAUAAUGUGUGUGCAGGUAAAAACCUAAAACAAUAUAAGCACAAAGAAGGUCUGGCAUAAUUACUCAUUCCCUUGCUCCCCUACUUUGACAUAAGGGUCAAUUUCCCCCCUUCUCUUCCUUCCUUCCUGUGUUUUGAAUGACAGAGGAAUGGUUGUGGUGUAAAAUAACAUGCUAUAGGAUUUCUCUGCCUUACUUUACAGUAUAGCAAAGAAAAAGUGUGAAUCCAAAGCAAAGCUCCUUGGAAUCUUAUUUAGGACUUAAAAGGAGUUGAGUGUAGAAGAAAUGCUCAGAGAUAUAAAAGAGAGAAAACUCUAAACCCAAGGACACUGUGGUAGAAAUCAAGGUCAGGGAAUAUAAUGAGGCAUGACUUAGGUGAGGCAUGAUCAGAGGCUUUGCUGACCUUAAUGUCCAUUUAGGUGGAAGCAUGGAUUGAUGCUUGUCAGUAAAAAGAGCACUGAAACUUUGAAAUGCUAAUUUCUGCAGUGGUGAUGGGUGGUCAUUUGAUUGAAGACAGUUUUGUAUUUCAGGAAAGAUAUAUUUUAGAUGGAUGAAGUAGGGUGGAGAACUAUGGAAAAUAAUAAUUGAAGAGUAUGUACAUUUUUUUUUCUUUCAGAACACUCUACUUAUUGAGUAAAACAAUUUCCUUUAGUAUUUGGAAAAAAUCUUGCAAGGUAGAUAUUAUUUAUAUUCUCUUUUGCUUUUCUUUCUUAGCCUCAGUUUCUCCAUCUAUUAAAAACUAGGAUACUGGUACCUACAUAAUAGGAUUAUUUGAGGGAAAAAAAAAAAAAAAGAGAGAGUUGAUUACACAAAGCACUUGGUUCAGUGCCUGAAACGUAUUAGGCUCUCUUCCACAGAUGGUAGCUCUUAUAAUUAUUCCUAUUAUUCUUAUUUAAGAAAUACAGAAUCUGAGACUCAGGAAGAUUUUAUAAUCUAAGAUCAUGACAUAAAUAAGUACCAGUCGGUACUAGAAUUUAAACCUGUUCGAGGACAAUACCUGUACUCUUUCCAGCUUAUCACAUUUAGUUUUUAACUUCCCUCAAAGCAUUUAGUCCUUGAAGCCAAACACUAUAGCAAUAACACUCAGGGAAAGAAUGUGUGUUUUCACUCAUGCACUGUUAUUUUUAAAAGUCUAGGAGGUACUUAGGCUUUCUAUGAUUUUUUUUUAACUCCUAAGUUAACAUAAUAAAUAAUUUUACUAGGAAAUGUUAAUCCUAUUUAUGAUGCUGGUAAUAUCUUGUUCUUUUUUGGGCAGCUUAAUGAAAUGCAUGAUUCUGUGUCAUUUUUCUCUCAAGAGAUAUGCAAGAAAAGGAAAAGGUUAACAUAAAUUUCAUGGAAUUUUCAGAGAAAUUGCCUCACAUAUAGGACACAUUGCAUUUAACAUCUUGCAUAGCAUCUGCCCUUAAUUUGCAGCUAUGAAAAGCUAAAUGAAAUGGCUAUUAGUUUACACACAGCAUUAGGAGAGUGACUUGUUUCUUAAUGUAGUUCUAGUACGAAUUGGAAGAAAUCCCAACUCUGGCAAAGAGUAUAAGGAUUUGGAAGAAUUUUUGUUUGCUUGUCAUUCAGCUGAAAUGUUUUGAACCCACUCAACUAGGAUUCACAGUGUUGUAUUGUUCUUUAAGUGCCAAGCAUAUCUAUGAGAUUUGUAUUGAAGUGGACAAUUUAUUUUGUAAUUAUCAUAGGUAGUUAACAGAUGAAUGAAAGUAGAAAUGUUUCCCUUUGCCUAUUAUUUAAUAGUCUAUUUCUCUAAAAUCUCUAUUCACACUACAAUAUAUGUCCCCAAAUAUGUUUAAAGUUGUUCUUCCCCAAAUAUAUCAAGAUCCAAUUUCUCCAUUAUUUCAUAAAUUCUAAGCCUAGUGAAUUUUAAUUAAGGUUGCCUUUUCAAAGGUCAGUCUUUGUAAAGGUAAAACUUAACAGAAUAUAGUUUAUGACACCCACUGAAAAGAUAAAUAGUAAAAAUAUCUUUACUAAAAUCUUUGUGGAAAAUGCUAGAAGUGUUCGGGACAUACAGACCAGAAAAAGUAAGGACAUUUAAGAAGUAAGAUACUAAUAUUUUUAGACAACCACUUGUGAGGUAAACAUGUUUAGAAUUUCAUACAAUUACCGUUACCUGUACAUAUAAUAAUCAGGUGCUGUUAUGUGACAUGAUUUACAUUGCCAUUAAUGAAAUGCCAAACAGCAUCGAGGUUUCAUUGACUUUGGAGUAGCCCAAAUGCUUGAGAGGAUUAGAUCUGUAUUAAUAACUCAUUAAACCCCUUUGACUUUCUCCCUUUGUUCCCAGUCAUCUGCAAGAUUUUUCCUGAGCUCCCCUCCAAUCCUGGAAAUGUUAUUUGAAUUCACUUUCUAAGUACCAUUUUAUUUCCCUUUCUUUUUGUACCACAAGUUGUACCUUUGAUGUAUUUAAAUUUAAACCUCUCAUUUUGAUGUGGAAGUGAAGGAACAUGAAUUCCUGAGGCUAUGAUCUGAAAGACAACAGCCAGCCUAGCAGCAAGAGAAGUUGAGAUAACAACAGUGGGCAUACCAAAAUGAGCAUGCUGUGAAGACACGUGUUCCUAGUUUUAUGAACAUAUUAUGGAGCUGACAGAUGCUAUGAUAAAUUUGUAUAAAGACAUUGUCUGCAGCAUAAUUUUUAUGUAUUCCCUUUAAAGCUGUAAAUGUAUGUGUCUGUGAGCAAAUAUGUAUUAGCAUACGUGCCGUUCUGCCUGCCUCGUUUACUUUCUUUGGGACACAACAUUCUGCCACCUUGGCAUCCCACAGAAUUUAAAAGUUUCUGCACAUCACUGAUAUUUGUAACACCUCUUAUUUUCUCCAUAGAAAAAAAAUGUUGCAUUAUUAUCCAGCCUUCCUUCGCAGGUGAAAAUGUGAAACACACAUCCAAACACACACACACAUACAUGCACACAUACACACGCCUGUGUUCUUAGAGCUUGACCUAAUGUUGAAUGUCCACAACAUUAAAAUAAAUACAUUCAAUGAGGUCACAGAGCCGAUGACUUAGUUGAUUUAUAAUUCUGUUAAUUAAUAGAAGUAAUCUGUUUGAUAGUCUUUUCACAAGAGUUUCCCAUGACCACAUUUUAAAUAAAUGUUAGUGUAAGCAGCUAACAACUAUUCCUAAGCCUUUCUACAAAGCUAAUCUAAUGCAGUUAUUGCACUAGUAUCCUCUGCCCAAGUCCCGCAGAAUGUUCGUGAUUUGCCAUAAGGAAACCCAGCCCAAGCUUUGCUGACUGUUAAGAUAAAUUUAUCUUUACCAGACUCAACUCUUAGUGCCUCUCUGCUAAGUCUUGAUGAAGUAGCUAAAUUAAUCCCCCCAAGGACUCUUUAAAUUGCCAGCUGAGCUUCCUUGGAACCUUCUCACAAACAGGCUUUAUGUUCUGUGUGAAGAAAAUUCCACUUUGCAUUUGAUCAGACACCUUGGUUAGCUUGAGUGUUGACACGGUAACCUACAGUAUAUUGUAUUCGACAUUAUUUUUUCAAAAUUCUGAAAAAAGCCCUAGAUUUACAUGUAUAUAUGUAUGUGUAUAUGUGUUUGUUUACAUUCAUAAUAUUCAUAUAUAUUUAUAUAUAUACAUUUUGUAUAUGUAAGUAUAUAUAUUCAUUAAAAUGUAUUCUUAAGGAAAACCUGGUUUUGUAGGCUCCAUUGAAAUUGCUGUAUGUAACUUUUCACAUUGUUACCAAACCUGCUUUGUAUCAAUCCUGCCUAUUUUUUAUUGCUAUUUUAUCAUCUUGAUUCAAUUUAACUGUAGAAAUGCUUGAAUUUCCUGUGGAAAUUAAGUUAGCCAAUUGAAUUUUAGGUAUAGCAACUCUUUUAUAUAUAGAUGAGUUAUUAAUGGCUAUGAUCAUUUAAUACCUUUUAUAACUUUUAGUUUUAAUUUAAUUUUUUCUUUUAAAAUAUAAAAGAAAUAUGCUAGAAAGUGUUCUUGGGAUUUCCAGUUGUGGCCCAGUGGCAACGAACCUGACUAGUAACCAAGAGGAUGCCGGUUCAAUCCCUGGCCUGGCCUUGCUCAGUGGAUUAAGUAUCUAGCAUUGCUGCAAGCUGUGGUGUAGGUCCCAGACAGGGCUCGGAUCCCAUAUUGCUUUGGCUGUGGUGUAGGCUGGCAGCUGCAUCCUGAUUCGACCCCUAGCCUGGGAACAUCCAUAUGCUGCAGGCGUGACCUGAAAAGGCAAAAAAAAAAAAAAAAAAAAAA